rnacentral:rRNA from 1 species
AUUGAACGCUGGCGGCAGGACUAACACAUGCAAGUCGAGCGGAGCGGCGGACGGGUGAGUAAUGCCUAGGAAUCUGCCUGGUAGUGGGGGAUAACGUACGGAAACGGGCGCUAAUACCGCAUACUAGCAGAUGAGCAUAGGUCGGAUUAGCUAGUAGGUGGGGUAACGGCUCACCAAGGCGACGGUCCAUAGCUGGUCUGCGAGGAUGGCCAGCCACACUGGAACUGAGACACGGUCCAGACUCAUACGGGAGGCAGCAGUGGGGAAUAUUGCACAAUGGGCGCAAGCCUGAGGCAGCCAUGCCGCGUGUGUGAAGAAGGCCUGCGGGUUGUAAAGCACUUUCAGCGGGGAGGCGUUACCCGCAGAAGAAGCACCGGCUAACUCCGUGCCAGCAGCCGCGGUAAUUC